GCCUGGGUGGCUCAGUUGAUUAAGCAUCUAACUUCAGCUCAGGUCAUCAUCUUACAGUUUGUGGGUUCGAACCCCACGUCGGGCU
rnacentral:tRNA from 1 species